GCCCUCCGGGAGCCCCAGACGCGCCGCGCCGGAGCCGAGACGGCCCGCGAGCUGGCGGCCGGGCUUCGGGGCGGGCGGGCCUUCGCCUCCGCCUGGUCACCUGCGGGGCCGCGUCAGCGAUGUGACCUCCCUGGGCUCCUCAGCGCGACUCCACCCUGCAGCGACUCCGUCUCAGUCCGGUGUCCCCCAGGGGAUCUAAGAGGCUGGAACCCCCAACGCUGCUUGGACUGCAGCAGGCGCUUCGGGCCCAGGUGUGCACAGGCGGACAGUUCGCGCAGAAUUGCGUUUGGCUGUCGGUGGAAUAUUAGGGAAGCGGAAGCGAGGACAUUGUCACUUACUGGGGCCCAGGUGUUUUUUCCCCCUGCCUUUGUUUGAUUUUGUUUUGUUAAAGAAAACAAAAUAUCCAAUGGCAUUUGUUAGGGCGGCAAAGAAGAAUCUAUUGUAUAGGUGUAAAUAUAGGGAUUUUGAAGGAGUGGGUAGAGAUUGAGCUGAACUUCAAAAAUAGUUUGACCCGGUGGGAAUUUAUAGCCAAGGAGCCCGGGGCAUGGACAGUGAUGGAAACUUGCUAAGAGGAGACACAGAGGUCUUCACAGUGUAUGAUACGUGAUAUAGUGACCGUUACCCCCAUUCACAGAUGAGAAAAUCAGACUGUGGAGUAAUAAGGAAUUUGUCCCAAAGCACACAGACCGUCAGUGGCAGAGCCAAGAUUCUAAUAAAAGUCAUUCUAACCUCAAAUGUGAAGCUCUUCAUAAAUACCUGCAGAUUUCUCUUUAAGCCUAGGAAUGCCCCACCCCACCCCAGCUCUCCUUUCUCUCAGCCCACUUCUAUUUGUAAGUCUCCCUCCAUAAAACCCUCAGGCCCACCGAGUCUCUCUACCCCAUUCCCAGCCAGCACUGCAGUGAUGCUCUGGCUUCUGCUGGGGACCUGUGUUCUGGGGAAGUCUGCUCCAGACUCUUUGUCUGCCCAGCACUGCUUCUAAAAUACUGGGCCUGAAGGAGGGCCACUGCGGCAAUUUUAUUAAUUGAGCCUUAAGGCAACAGCAGGCACUGUACCAAAAAGAAAAUGCAGGGUGGCACUUGCUCAGUUGGCUUAUAAUAGACAAAUUAUUGUGAUACACAAUAAAAAAUAGGAGAUGGAGAAUCCUAUGUGGGUUUUAUAGUCACCCUCAGGGGCAGUGCUACAAUCUGUGCAAACUGCACACCUGUCUCAGGAGGCAGGUAGUUGGGAAGCAGAAGGAAACCUCGUCAGCACGGACUGCCUGUUUGACUGUCAUUCCAGAGUCCACUUCGAAGCCAGAGGAAGGAAGGAAGGAAUGGGAUGAUAGGGCCAGCUGUGCUCUCACCUGCAGCUGUGGUGCCAGCCCAUGGGGACAGAAAGUCCAGACUAGCUAGAUGACUGGGCAGAGGAUGCUUCACGGAGCUGGGUGGUCACUUUCUAGGGUAGAAGGCUGCUUCUAAGAGGAGUGGCAGGAAGCCCAUCCCAGACUAGAAACUUCUCAGUUCAAAUCCUUUGAGGAAAUCCUUUAACAGUGAUAUUGGUUGUCAGAAACAAGCCUAGCUUGAAGAAAAUCACCAUCAUCAUCAAGAGGCAGACUGACUAGUAGGAGGGUACCUGGGUGUGCUCCAAAGUUCUGGGGACUAAGUGUGAGGUCUUAGGAGGGAGUGAAGGAAGCUAGUGUUUUUGGGAUUCCUAAAAUAUGCACUUGCAGUACUCGAGAUGUUUCCUCAUAACAAUGUACCGUACUUGGUAUAAUUGUUUCUGUGUUACAGAUGAACAAACUGAGGCUUUGUGACAUUAAAUCAUUUGCCCAAAAUAUAUAGGUCUGAUGAGAGUGGGCUCAAAUUUCCUGCAGCAUGUCACCUCCAAGAAUAAAUGUCAUGCAAUGACUCAAAUUGUUUUAACAACUGCUUUAAUCCCAGUGCAGUCUGAAUCCAGUUAAUAGUAUGGUGGCAGUAUCAGUUUCCUGGCUUUGAUAAUGUAUUACAGUUACAUAAGAUGUUACAAUUGGGGGAACGUGGAGGGGACACAGGACCGCUCUGUACUAUUUUUGUAACUUCGGGGUCUAUCGUUAUUUCAAAUUUAAAAAGUGUAUAAAAAGAAAAAUAGUCUGCCCUGUACCACUUUUCUAAGCCUUAUUGUUAUUGUCCAUUCUAGUGUCUGUAACCUGAGUAUGAAGUUCUCAACUUAAGGGUGGAAGACGUCUUAAACACUGAUCAACUUUGCGUCACAGUCCUGCCUGUUGACGUUUGGGUGUGAUGGUGGUUGUUAUCACAGUUAUUUUGUAUGUACAAAGUUUUGUGGACAGCAUAGGCCAUUGGAAAAAGUUUAUGUACCUUUAUAGCAACACUGAGGCUUAAAUAGUUUCUGAACCACCGCCCCCAUCCCAUUUUGCAGAUGACUAUGGGAGACAGAAAGAGGUUAAAUAACUGCACAGUAUUUUUGUAUAUUUGGCAAGCCAGUCUCAAAGCCUAGAAGAGACUGAGCCCAGGGGAACAUUCUCUUUUAUGGAUGUUUUCCAGGUACACUGGACUUGGGUGGGAGGCUGAGCAUGCACAGAUUCUGCUGUACCACACAUUCACAUAUCAUGUAUCCAGAAUUAUGUAAGAAUAAAAUAGUUGUACCUCUUCUGGAAAAAAAAUAUGAUUUACCUUUUCUCAUGUGCUGUUCAUCAGACACCCACUCUGCACUGGAGGGGGGAAAAAUUCUUUGAGAGAGAGUGUUGGCAGAACAAUGGAAGUUAGGAGUGUUCUUUUCUUCUAGAACUUUUCCUGUUGCUUUUAUUAAAAGUCUCUCAUUGUUUGACUGGAGAUGAAUUAUGAUUGUACUUAUCUGAAGUUGCUUAGAAGUUGCCCGACUGUGCCACAUUUGAUUUUCAAGCCCUGUGCCAAAAGAAGUCACGCCAUAUACCGAACCUUUCCUGUCUGAAAUUUCCAGAGACCUUGAUUUCAGAGGCUCUGUAUCAAAGUUUCUUGGCUCACGAUUGUUUGUCCUGUUGAAAUCUUUCCUAAUGUCGGUCCUGUUUGGGGAAAUUCACUGGAGGCAUGGUCUUGCUCCCCUUUCCUGUCCCAGCCCCUGAGUCAGAAGCUGCCAGUACACAAUUUAUUAUGAGGAUUGUACAGGUCAGGAAGUGUGUCAUGAAUGUUCCUACUUGUAUUGCUGGAG
ensembl:lncRNA